rnacentral:rRNA from 1 species
UACGGGGGGGGCAAGCGUUGUUCGGAAUUACUGGGCGUAAAGGGCUCGUAGGCGGCCAACUAAGUCAGACGUGAAAUCCCUCGGCUCAACCGGGGAACUGCAUCUGAUACUGGAUGGCUUGAGAUUGGGAGAGGGAUGCGGAAUUCCAGGUGUAGCGGUGAAAUGCGUAGAUAUCUGGAGGAACACCGGUGGCGAAGGCGGCAUCCUGGACCAACACUGACGCUGAGGAGCGAAAGCCAGGGGAGCAAACGGG